rnacentral:lncRNA from 1 species
GGUGACCUGGGAAUCAAUGUGUGAGGUGGUGCUAUGUAGCAGGAACCCCUCUUGCUUUGCAAAUAGUUUUUUGUUUGUUUUCCUUUUUGCCCAAUAGAGCCCUGCUCUACUGACCCUUCAAUGUGCCCGUGUGCCUAAAUAUUCCUGGUCGUGUGAAAAGAACCCAGGUAUUAGCUGAACUAAGGAGCACAAUUCUGCAACAUUUUGGCACCCAAACACGGGGCUUGAGAAAUGAAUGCAAUUGGAGAAACUGGUUGUUUUACCAGGCGUUGAUUGGAAAUGUGUGCUUCCCUUUAAGCAGUCAAGCUCAACUUGCAGAACUGAUGGGAACCCCUUGGGAAAACUGGCCUCAAAUGUUUGUCUACACAGUCCACAUACAGGGUUCUUAACCUGCGAUGAGGGAAACUUCCCAGGGCUUGUCUGGGUAUGCCCACAGUGGACUGGAGCCCAAAAUGCACACUGGAGGAAGUGGAUGGAGCCACGUGGAUGUCAUGCCUUAUGCAGGGGAGGAGCCUGCUCUCUUCAGCUCCUGUGGUAAUGUGGGAAUCGAUCUGUGAGGAAACACUUUCUGAAAAUGUCAGAACUCUUGAAAACAUGGAUGAGGAAAAGCAUAAGUACUGCUUUAUGCUUUUCUUAUGAAUUUUAAAAGAUGUAAUUUAAAGAUUGAAACUCCCACAACUUUGGCAGACCAACUCCUCAGAAAACAUUAUUCUUUGACAUCAAUAUGUUUUGCACAAAAUUGAAUGGCAAGUGAAAGGCAUCAAAUGGAGCUGUCAUUUAAAUGUGCUUGCCAACUAGCUUGUUUAUCAAAACAUUCCAGACCCUUUCAAAUUCUCAUUUACAUUGUUUCUUGUUUACCACACCCAUAAAUUUGUAUUACCAGCAUAUUUAACUAUCCGGCUAUUUUGGAGAUUGAAAAAAGAAGACCUGAUUUAUCAUGUGCAAUAUCUCACACAUCUGUCAUUUC